rnacentral:lncRNA from 1 species
AGUGCGCGCNNNNNNNNNNNNNNNNNNNNNNNNNNNNNNCGGAGGUUGGGGGUCCCCCGGGGGCGGCCCGUAUCCCGGCUUCCUCAGGGAGCGGACCGAGAGCCCGGGCGAGAGCGCGGGCCGCGCGAGGAGCCUCCUGUCCCGGGCUCCCGGAGCAGGAUUGAGGAGGAACCGGGACGAUGGCGGCUCCCUCUCCGGCGUCAUUUCAGGGAGAAACCAGUAUCCUCUUUGUCGUCGUGCGCUGGAAGUUUGAGCGGCUGUGCAGGGCUGUCUCUGCAAGGGAGAGCCGCAGCCUCUGAAUCCUGCACAGAGCUUUUUAAAAUUUAUGUAUGUAUGUAUGUAUGCAUGUGUGUAUUUAGCAAGGGCAGAUGCCUCAAAGCGUGGGAAAGGAGUACGAAGGGGUGGCUAAUAUCUUUUUUUAAAUGUUUUUUUAUUAUAUUAUGUUAGUCACCAUACAGUACAUCCCCGGUUUCCGAUGUAAAGUUCGAUGAUUCAUUAGUUGUGUAUAACACCCAGUGCACCAUGCAAUACGUGCCCUCCUUACUACCCAUCACCGGUCUAUCCCAUUCCCCACCCCCCUCCCCUCUGAAGCCCUCAGUUUGUUUCUCAUAGUCCAUAGUCUCUCAUGCUUCAUUCCCCCUUCUGAUUAUCCCCCCUUUCUUUAUCCCUUUCUUCCCCUACCGAUCUUAAGGGGUGGCUAAUAUCUUGAAGCAGGCUCGCGCUUUCCCCCAGGUGGGCACAGAGGGAGUCAGUCACGGGAUAAGGGAGGAGCAGGCUGUCUGGGGUAGCAGUUGCCAGGUGCAGAAAGGGGGAACUGAGGGUCACAUUCUUUCAUAGCUCCUAACUUAUGCCCUGCCCCUGGGGAUCCUGGGAUCGUGCUCCAGCCGGGCCAUUGCGUUCAGUAGCCCAAGAACAGGUACGCUGCUGACGCUUUAGCUGCUUCCACAGUCACUCCUUAGGGCUUACUAUAUAUUUUCUAAGAAUAACUCCACACUCUUCUCAUUCUUCCUGUGACCUGAUCACACCCCCACUCCCCAAGCAUGCCCUCAACCUUGCACUCUCAUCCAAGAGCAGCUUGUUUCCCUCCACUGUAAUCUGUUUCCUCAGAUAAACGGCAAGGCUUGGGCAUAAGGCUUGGGCAUCUGGCUUAGUCCUGGCUUUCAGACUCUG